UACGGGUAGGCAGCAAGCGUUGUUCGGAGUUACUGGGCGUAAAGGGUGUGUAGGCGGUUGUUUAAGUUUGGUGAUGAAACUCUCCCGGCUCAACUGGGAGGGUGCGCCGAAUACUGAAUGGACUUCGAGUGCGGGAGAGGAAAGUGGAAUUCCUGGUGUAGCGGUAGAAAUGCGUAGAUAUCGAGGAGGAACACCGGUGGUGUAGACGGCUUUCUGGACCGUAACUGACGCUGAGACACGGAAAGCGUGGGGUAGCAAACAGG
rnacentral:rRNA from 1 species